GACGAACGCUGGCGGCGUGCUUAACACAUGCAAGUCGAACGGAAAGGCCCUGCUUUUGUGGGGUGCUCGAGUGGCGAACGGGUGAGUAACACGUGAGUAACCUGCCCUUGACUUUGGGAUAACUUCAGGAAACUGGGGGUAAUACCGGAUAGGAGCUCCUGCUGCCUGGUGGGGGUUGGAAAGGUUCGGCGGUUGGGGGUGGACUCGCGGCUUAUCAGCUUGUUGGUGGGGUAGUGGCUUACCAAGGCUUUGACGGGUAGCCGGCCUGAGAGGGUGACCGGCCACAUUGGGACUGAGAUACGGCCCAGACUCCUACGGGAGGCAGCAGUGGGGAAUAUUGCACAAUGGGCGGAAGCCUGAUGCAGCAACGCCGCGUGCGGGAUGACGGCCUUCGGGUUGUAAACCGCUUUCGCCUGUGACGAAGCGUGAGUGACGGUAAUGGGUAAAGAAGCACCGGCUAACUACGUG
rnacentral:rRNA from 1 species